AUUGAACGCUGGCGGCAGGCCUAACACAUGCAAGUCGAACGAGUGGCGGACGGGUGUGUAAUGUCUGGGAAACUGCCCGAUGUAGGGGGAUAACAACUGGAAACGGUGGCUAAUACCGCAUACCCUCGGAUGUGCCCAGAUGGGAUUAGCUUGUAGGUGGGGUAACGGCUCACCUAGGCGACGAUCCCUCGCUGGUCUGAGAGGAUGACCAGCCACACUGGAACUGAGACACGGUCCAGACUCCUACGGGAGGCAGCAGGGGGGAAUAUUGCACAAUGGGCGCAAGCCGGAUGCAGCCAUGCCGCGUGUAUGAAGAAGGCCUUCGGGUUGUAAAGUACUUUCAGCGGGGAGGCGUUACCCGCAGAAGAAGCACCGGCUAACUCCGUGCCAGCAGCCGCGGUAAUUC
rnacentral:rRNA from 1 species